rnacentral:misc_RNA from 1 species
UCUGUUCAAUGUUUUCUUUUGUUGUUUUUUUUUCCUGUCGUGCUGUUACAUCCUUCCUGCCGAAAGCUUUGGAAACGAAUAUGCAACAGGGCACAUUCCAGAGGGGGAUAGAGGAGUAAAAUAAAUAAAUAAAUAACCAUUAGGAAGAAGAACCUGACCCAAUCAACCCAAGACGAUUCUGUAGUAGGUUGGAAACGUGUUGUUUGUUGUUCAAACAAAAAUAAUCAAGCACCGUAAUGAGCGCGUACGGUAUGAAGCUAAUGAAAAAAACAUAUCCUUACCCAGCAUCUGUGCGUUGUCAAAAGUGUUUGGAAAUGGGUCACUGGAGUUAUGAGUGCAAAGGCAAGAGGAAAUACGUUCACAGAUCUUCACGAACUACGCAAUUAAAAAAGGCAAUAAAACAGCAAGAGGUGGAAAAAUUGGAGCCAGAGAUGACCAGUGAAACUGUGAAACAGAAAAAAAAAAUUAGAAAGGAAUCAAGUAGUACAAGUGAUUCAGAUAGCUCAAGCACAGAUAGUAGUAGUUCAGACAGUUCUUCCUCCGAUGAUUCGGAUUCCAGUGACAGCUCAUCUAGCUCGAGUAGUAGCAGUGGUAGUAGUAGCAGCACCUCAUCCAGUUCAUCAAGCAGAGAUUCUAGUUCCAGCGAAGGUACCAAAUCCAGUAAAGCAAAAAAAACGAAAAAAUAAUGAAAAAAAAAUGAAGUUUUUGGAUAAACAAAUCAAGCCUUGUGCAAAAGGAUUGACGAGUAGCAAAGUAGAAAUGCGUCAAAAGGUUCCAUUUACAUUUUUAAAUGUAUGGAAUCUCAUAUCAUCGACAAUCUAUUUUUUAUCACUUUUUUUACCAUUGAAUAACUUCAUAGUUAUUUUACUACUAUUAAUGUAUUACUUAAGGACUUAAAUAUAAUAAUGCUAUGUCAACUAAUCAUAAGGAAAAAAAGUAUAUUUAAAUGAGUAAAUUUGAAAUAUUUGCUAUCUGCACUAUUAUUAUUUAUUUAAAUUCCAAAUUUCUAAAAGACAUUUAUUUAUUUUCCAUAUGACCAUUAGGCUUCUUUGUUUGGUUAAUAACGUGACUGUCAACAGAACAUUUACAUACUAUGCCAUCAUUAUAGUUGGUCAAAUGCCUGUUAGUAUGUGCCCGCAGACAUUCAAUAAUCUCGAAACGUACAAGGCUGUAGAUACUAAUUGGUGAUACAAACUAUAAUAUUUGUCAUGAACUAGGGGCUUUGCUCCUGCUUGCAUCGCAUAUCGUUCUGUUGUGGAAAAUGGAUAGUUCGUAAAUGUACUCGUCAAAUUGUAUCGUGAGCAGUCUGGCAAUAUGAAAAUUGUAGCCUACCAUCCCCACCAUUACUCUACUGAAUUUACCAAGGAAAACCCAGCUGAAACGAGGAUGGAGAUGAAUGAAUAAAUUACCAAUUUUGUUUAUUUCUCAGUCCCCUGGAGCAAUGGGGUGAUAAGACAGAGCCUGUGUUAGUUUGAUAAUCAUAAGAAUGAUAUUGGUAACCCAUUAAAAAUCAGUCUAGCAGUUUUUUAUUUAUACUGCACACAUAUGCAGCUGUCUCAUUAUCAUACUAAUAUUAGCACAACAUUGUUCAUUUCUUGAAAAUGUUAUGAGAUCCCGUUUAUGCAGCAUGAAAAUACAAUUCCUUUUAUAUACAUAUUAUAUAAUGGGAUAAUUUUUCUCCAAUUCUUCGUUAAAAUAUAUUCUAUACAAAAGAAUAUUGUUAGUCUCUUAGCCAAGCGUAAUCUUAUCUUAGGUUCCGAUUUUCGAAUCUAAAAGCUAUUAUGUAUAUUGGUCAGCAGCUACUUCAUAGAAUCAGCCAUGUAGGAUCCUAUAUAAUAACCAUACCAAAAUAUCAUGUAAAUAUAUGGCAUACAGAGAGCUACAGGGACUCAUCAGACAAGAUACUAUUCAAAUCCAUACAUCUGUUUGUAAAAUAUUACAACUCACUAAUGAGUUGCAAAGAAUGUAUAUUAUUUUUUCAUGAUCUUAAGCAUUGUUCAAACUGAUCUGUUACACAUAUCAAAUCAAUCAGUAACGAGUUCAGCAUUUUCGUUGAAAGUUUGAUAAUCAAAUAUUUCAACAGUUUCAGUUGCGCAUGCAUUUUUCAAGACAAAAAAAUGGUUUGUGAAAGAAAUAUAUCACAACUCUUGGGAAGUUGUAAUAUUCCGAGUGACUUUACAUGACCUGACUAUACCAGAAGUUUCCUACAAUGCCUCAUCCAAUAUCCUUGUUAUGUUAAUGGCGAACGUUUAUGGUUUGGCAGGUGUCAAACAGAUUAAGAAAUUCUUGCAGAUAAUCGGUACAUGCAUUACUUCAAAGUACCGUUGUUUUGGUAAAAAUCGUAGUUUCAAACAAGUCCAUGUAAACAAAGCUCCAUUAAUUUUAUGAUGAGGAAUAUUGAUGUCUUCGAUAUCUCGGUGUUUCGGUAUUUCAGUAUCAGUAUUGCAAGAUCAUGCUGAUGCCGUUAUAUUGUGCAAAGAAAUUACCAAACAAUCUUCGGUAUACCUUUUUCCAUAUGAUAUCAACUGACCAGAAGUCACAGCAUGAUGGGUGUCCACCAGGGAUUGACAGUGGUGUUCUCUUGGCAGUGAGCAAAGGCUACAAAUACAUUGAAGAGCUACCACCAUAAGCCUGUUCUCCAUCCAGAUGUAGACAAAUAUAUUGAGUUGAUAUUUAGAGAUCUAAUUGUGACAGUUACAAUGCUAUGACAGAAGAUACACACCAAAUUCAAACGGGAGCUUCAACAACGUACUUUGGUAAUAGCACCCGAGAUCAACCAUAGCAGUUCACACAUUGGAAACAUUGCCGCUAAUACAGCGACAUGAAUUUUUAACUCCGGAACCAAAUUAAAAGGAAAGCUGAUUGGUACUGCGAAGUAGACGAUGAGGAGCACAUUCAUAUCAACCAAAUUGAAACUAAACAGGCGACCCGUGAAGAGGAAUUCAGUGUAAAUAGAUGAACCGACUGCACGGAUUCCUGGAUCCAUGAGGAAUACGUUUUACGCUGGACAAGAUAACAGUGAUUCCAGAAAAUGGGUUCCUGUAAAAAAAAAAAAAUUUAUACAUGCACCUGCAUGUAUACGGCUUUCAAAUGAAAAAAUCUGAUUCAAAUGGAAUUAUUAGCUUAUGAGAUAAACAUUCCCGAAAUUGCUCUUGCGGUCUACUGGUACAUUACCCCUUGAUAAUCUCCAUCAGUCUCCAGUAAAAAUACUUCUUUUAUAUCAAAAUUAUAGCAGUGUUAUAGAUAGCAAAAAUAACUCUGUAUUAAUUACUACGCGUUGAUGGGAUGAUAAUAAAUUCAAUUCUUGAACAUCAUAAUGCUACAAUA